rnacentral:rRNA from 1 species
CAGCAGCCACGGUAAUACGGAGGGUGCAAGCGUUAUUCGGAAUUACUGGGCGUAAAGCGCACGCAGGCGGUUGCCCAAGUCAGAUGUGAAAGCCCCGGGCUUAACCUGGGAACUGCAUUUGAAACUGGGCGACUAGAGUAUGAAAGAGGAAAGCGGAAUUUCCAGUGUAGCAGUGAAAUGCGUAGAUAUUGGAAGGAACACCGAUGGCGAAGGCAGCUUUCUGGGUCGAUACUGACGCUCAUGUGCGAAAGCGUGGGGAGCAAACAGGACUAGAUACCCGUGUAGUCCCUGUCUCUUAUAC